GACGAACGCUGGCGGAGUGCAUAAUACAUGCAAGUCGAACGAGUGGCGGACGGGUGAGUAAUAUAUCGGAACGUGCCCAGGAGGGGGGGGUAACUACUCGAAAGAGUGGCUAAUACCGCAUACUAUUGGAUCGGCAGAUAUGGGAUUAGCAAGUGGGGGGGGUAAAGGCUCACCAAGGCAACGAGCCGUAGCUGGUUUGAGAGGACGACCAGCCACACUGGGACUGAGACACGGCCCAGACUCCUACGGGAGGCAGCAGUGGGGAAUUUUGGACAAUGGGGGAAACCCUGAUCCAGCCAUCCCGCGUGUAUGAGAAGGCCUUCGGGUUGUAAAGUACUUUUGGCAGAGAAGCGGUAUCUGCAGAAUAAGCACCGGCUAACUACGUGCCAGCAGCCGCGGUAAUUC
rnacentral:rRNA from 1 species